CGGGGGGCAGCAGUCGAGAAUUUUUCUCAAUGGGCGAAAGCCUGAAGGAGCGACGCCGCGUGGAGGAUGAAGGUCUUCGGAUUGUAAACUCCUGUCAUGAGGGAGCAAGACACUGCGUUAACUGCGUGGGUGUUUGAUAGUACCUCAAGAGGAAGAGACGGCUAACUCUGUGCCAGCAGCCGCGGUAAUACAGAGGUCUCAAGCGUUGUUCGGAUUCAUUGGGCGUAAAGGGUGCGUAGGCGGCUAGGUAAGUCAGAUGUGAAAUUCCGGGGCUCAACCUCGGAACUGCAUUUGAUACUGCUUGGCUAGAGUACUGGAGAGGAGACUGGAAUUUACGGUGUAGCAGUGAAAUGCGUAGAUAUCGUAAGGAAGGCCAGUGGCGAAAGCGAGUCUCUGGACAGUAACUGACGCUGAUGCACGAAGGCUAGGGGAGCAAACGGGAUUAGAUACCCGAGU
rnacentral:rRNA from 1 species